ncrna:unclassified sequences malK-I RNA
UCCAACCGGCGGCGGCCACUCCACUUUCUUGGCCCCCUGCCGGAAAAACAAAGGAGGAACCAGGUCCCGCUGAGACUGGCGGUGCGGCAGUGUGGAGACCUGCCGUAAGGCGCUGCGGCUUCGCCGGGCGCGAGACCGUUCCAUGCGGAGGCAGAACGGUUACAGUCUGUAUAUUAUGGCA